rnacentral:tRNA from 1 species
CUAUUAGUUUAAUAAACAUUAAAUUGCAAAUUUAAUAAAAAUCAUAUGAUGG